AGUUUGACAUCUGUUUUGCUUUGUAUGCUGGCUGUUAAGUAGAAGGGGUGGUUGCAUUUACGUGAUGUUUUUCUGCUCAAAGCUUUUGUAAACUGCUUUGAAUGAUCUGCAUCUGUAAAUUUGAUAAAUGCUGAAUUACAACAAUGUCCCUACAAUCCAGAAUUUUGUCUCGGUUAGAUAUGCUGUCUGAAAAAUUUCUAAGAGUAUUUAAAAAGCAAGGAGGGCAAAUAGGAGGAAGACUGCAGACCAUCAUGGAAC